rnacentral:rRNA from 1 species
GACGAACGCUGGCGGCGUGCCUAAUACAUGCAAGUAGAACGCUGAAGGAGGAGCUUGCUUCUCUGGAUGAGUUGCGAACGGGUGAGUAACGCGUAGGUAACCUGCCUGGUAGCGGGGGAUAACUAUUGGAAACGAUAGCUAAUACCGCAUAAUAGUAGAUGUUGCAUGACAUUUGCUUAAAAGGUGCAAUUGCAUCACUACCAGAUGGACCUGCGUUGUAUUAGCUAGUUGGUGGGGUAACGGCUCACCAAGGCGACGAUACAUAGCCGACCUGAGAGGGUGAUCGGCCACACUGGGACUGAGACACGGCCCAGACUCCUACGGGAGGCAGCAGUAGGGAAUCUUCGGCAAUGGACGGAAGUCUGACCGAGCAACGCCGCGUGAGUGAAGAAGGUUUUCGGAUCAUAAAGCUCUGUUGUAAGAGAAGAACGAGUGUGAGAGUGGAAAGUUCACACUGUGACGGUAUCUUACCAGAAAGGGACGGCUAACUACGUG